rnacentral:rRNA from 1 species
CAGUAGCCACGGGAAUACGUAGGGCGCAAGCGUUGUCCGGAAUUAUUGGGCGUAAAGAGCUCGUAGGCGGUCUGUCGCGUCUGGUGUGAAAUCCCGAGGCUCAACCUCGGGCUUGCAUCGGGUACGGGCAGACUAGAGUGCGGUAGGGGAGACUGGAAUUCCUGGUGUAGCGGUGGAAUGCGCAGAUAUCAGGAGGAACACCGAUGGCGAAGGCAGGUCUCUGGGCCGCAACUGACGCUGAGGAGCGAAAGCAUGGGGAGCGAACAGGAUUAGAUACCCGUGUAGUCCCUGUCUCUUAUAU